CAAAGGAAUUGACGGGGCCCGCACAAGCGGUGGAGCAUGUGGUUAAUUCGAAGCAACGCGAAGAACCUUACCAGGUCUUGACAUCCCGAUGCUAUUUCUAGAGAUAGAAAGUUACUUCGGUACAUCGGUGACAGGUGGUGCAUGGUUGUCGUCAGCUCGUGUCGUGAGAUGUUGGGUUAAGUCCCGCAACGAGCGCAACCCCUAUUGUUAGUUGCCAUCAUUCAGUUGGGCACUCUAGCGAGACUGCCGGUAAUAAACCGGAGGAAGUGGGGAUGACGUCAAAUCAUCAUGCCCCUUAUGACCUGGGCUACACACGUGCUACAAUGGUUGGUACAACGAGUUGCGAGUCGGUGACGGCGAGCUAAUCUCUUAAAGCCAAUCUCAGUUCGGAUUGUAGGCUGCAACUCGCCUACAUGAAGUCGGAAUCGCUAGUAAUCGCGGAUCAGCACGCCGCGGUGAAUACGUUCCCGGGCCUU
rnacentral:rRNA from 1 species